rnacentral:ncRNA from 1 species
GCAGAGUAGGAAUACGCGCGUUAAGUGCCCGACGAACGGGGAGUUGUCGGCGGGACGAAAAGGGUAAGGUAUAUGCCCCAGCCCUUGCGGUGCGUUUUCCGCAUCCCGCUG